CGGCGCACCCUGCGCCGUCCUUAAUGAAGCCUAAUAGCCCCUAAUAGCCGGUGGCAAGCCCGGAUAAAUUCAGAGCCAAGGA
rnacentral:ribozyme from 1 species